GGGUUGUGAGGUUAAGCGACUAAGCGUACACGGUGGAUGCCCUGGCAGUCAGAGGCGAUGAAGGACGUGCUAAUCUGCGAUAAGCGUCGGUAAGGUGAUAUGAACCGUUAUAACCGGCGAUUUCCGAAUGGGGAAACCCAGUGUGAUUCGUCACACUAUCAUUAACUGAAUCCAUAGGUUAAUGAGGCGAACCGGGGGAACUGAAACAUCUAAGUACCCCGAGGAAAAGAAAUCAACCGAGAUUCCCCCAGUAGCGGCGAGCGAACGGGGAGGAGCCCAGAGCCUGAAUCAGUGUGUGUGUUAGUGGAAGCGUCUGGAAAGGCGCGCGAUACAGGGUGACAGCCCCGUACACAAAAAUGCACAUACUGUGAGCUCGAUGAGUAGGGCGGGACACGUGGUAUCCUGUCUGAAUAUGGGGGGACCAUCCUCCAAGGCUAAAUACUCCUGACUGACCGAUAGUGAACCAGUACCGUGAGGGAAAGGCGAAAAGAACCCCGGCGAGGGGAGUGAAAAAGAACCUGAAACCGUGUACGUACAAGCAGUGGGAGCCUCUUUAUGGGGUGACUGCGUACCUUUUGUAUAAUGGGUCAGCGACUUAUAUUCUGUAGCAAGGUUAACCGAAUAGGGGAGCCGAAGGGAAACCGAGUCUUAACUGGGCGUUAAGUUGCAGGGUAUAGACCCGAAACCCGGUGAUCUAGCCAUGGGCAGGUUGAAGGUUGGGUAACACUAACUGGAGGACCGAACCGACUAAUGUUGAAAAAUUAGCGGAUGACUUGUGGCUGGGGGUGAAAGACCAAUCAAACCGGGAGAUAGCUGGUUCUCCCCGAAAGCUAUUUAGGUAGCGCCUCGUGAAUUCAUCUCCGGGGGUAGAGCACUGUUUCGGCAAGGGGGUCAUCCCGACUUACCAACCCGAUGCAAACUGCGAAUACCGGAGAAUGUUAUCACGGGAGACACACGGCGGGUGCUAACGUCCGUCGUGAAGAGGGAAACAACCCAGACCGCCAGCUAAGGUCCCAAAGUCAUGGUUAAGUGGGAAACGAUGUGGGAAGGCCCAGACAGCCAGGAUGUUGGCUUAGAAGCAGCCAUCAUUUAAAGAAAGCGUAAUAGCUCACUGGUCGAGUCGGCCUGCGCGGAAGAUGUAACGGGGCUAAACCAUGCACCGAAGCUGCGGCAGCGACACUAUGUGUUGUUGGGUAGGGGAGCGUUCUGUAAGCCUGUGAAGGUGUACUGUGAGGUAUGCUGGAGGUAUCAGAAGUGCGAAUGCUGACAUAAGUAACGAUAAAGCGGGUGAAAAGCCCGCUCGCCGGAAGACCAAGGGUUCCUGUCCAACGUUAAUCGGGGCAGGGUGAGUCGACCCCUAAGGCGAGGCCGAAAGGCGUAGUCGAUGGGAAACAGGUUAAUAUUCCUGUACUUGGUGUUACUGCGAAGGGGGGACGGAGAAGGCUAUGUUGGCCGGGCGACGGUUGUCCCGGUUUAAGCGUGUAGGCUGAUUUUCCAGGCAAAUCCGGAAAAUCAAGGCUGAGGCGUGAUGACGAGGCACUACGGUGCUGAAGCAACAAAUGCCCUGCUUCCAGGAAAAGCCUCUAAGCAUCAGGUAACAUCAAAUCGUACCCCAAACCGACACAGGUGGUCAGGUAGAGAAUACCAAGGCGCUUGAGAGAACUCGGGUGAAGGAACUAGGCAAAAUGGUGCCGUAACUUCGGGAGAAGGCACGCUGAUAUGUAGGUGAAGCGACUUGCUCGUGGAGCUGAAAUCAGUCGAAGAUACCAGCUGGCUGCAACUGUUUAUUAAAAACACAGCACUGUGCAAACACGAAAGUGGACGUAUACGGUGUGACGCCUGCCCGGUGCCGGAAGGUUAAUUGAUGGGGUUAGCGGUAACGCGAAGCUCUUGAUCGAAGCCCCGGUAAACGGCGGCCGUAACUAUAACGGUCCUAAGGUAGCGAAAUUCCUUGUCGGGUAAGUUCCGACCUGCACGAAUGGCGUAAUGAUGGCCAGGCUGUCUCCACCCGAGACUCAGUGAAAUUGAACUCGCUGUGAAGAUGCAGUGUACCCGCGGCAAGACGGAAAGACCCCGUGAACCUUUACUAUAGCUUGACACUGAACAUUGAGCCUUGAUGUGUAGGAUAGGUGGGAGGCUUUGAAGUGUGGACGCCAGUCUGCAUGGAGCCGACCUUGAAAUACCACCCUUUAAUGUUUGAUGUUCUAACGUUGGCCCCUGAUCGGGGUUGCGGACAGUGUCUGGUGGGUAGUUUGACUGGGGCGGUCUCCUCCUAAAGAGUAACGGAGGAGCACGAAGGUUGGCUAAUCCUGGUCGGACAUCAGGAGGUUAGUGCAAUGGCAUAAGCCAGCUUGACUGCGAGCGUGACGGCGCGAGCAGGUGCGAAAGCAGGUCAUAGUGAUCCGGUGGUUCUGAAUGGAAGGGCCAUCGCUCAACGGAUAAAAGGUACUCCGGGGAUAACAGGCUGAUACCGCCCAAGAGUUCAUAUCGACGGCGGUGUUUGGCACCUCGAUGUCGGCUCAUCACAUCCUGGGGCUGAAGUAGGUCCCAAGGGUAUGGCUGUUCGCCAUUUAAAGUGGUACGCGAGCUGGGUUUAGAACGUCGUGAGACAGUUCGGUCCCUAUCUGCCGUGGGCGCUGGAGAACUGAGGGGGGCUGCUCCUAGUACGAGAGGACCGGAGUGGACGCAUCACUGGUGUUCGGGUUGUCAUGCCAAUGGCACUGCCCGGUAGCUAAAUGCGGAAGAGAUAAGUGCUGAAAGCAUCUAAGCACGAAACUUGCCCCGAGAUGAGUUCUCCCUGACUCCUUGAGAGUCCUGAAGGAACGUUGAAGACGACGACGUUGAUAGGCCGGGUGUGUAAGCGCAGCGAUGCGUUGAGCUAACCGGUACUAAUGAACCGUGAGGCUUAACCUUACAACGCCGAAG
rnacentral:rRNA from 1 species